rnacentral:rRNA from 1 species
UAGGGAAUCUUCCGCAAUGGACGCAAGUCUGACGGAGCAACGCCGCGUGAGUGAAGAAGGAUUUCGGUUCGUAAAACUCUGUUGUUAGAGAAGAACAGCGCAUAGAGUAACUGUUAUGCGUGUGACGGUAUCUAACCAGAAAGCCACGGCUAACUACGUGCCAGCAGCCGCGGUAAUACGUAGGUGGCAAGCGUUGUCCGGAUUUAUUGGGCGUAAAGCGAGCGCAGGCGGUCAAUUAAGUCUGAUGUGAAAGCCCCCGGCUCAACCGGGGAGGGUCAUGGGAAACUGGUUGCCUUGAGUGCAGAAGAGGAGAGUGGAAUUCCAUGUGUAGCGAUGAAAUGCGCAGAUAUAUGGAGGAACACCAGUGGCGAAGGCGAAUCUCUGGUCUGUAACUGACGCUGAGGAUCGAAAGCGUGGGUAGCAAACAGG